GAAAGCCGUAUGAUGGGAAACUAUCACGUACGGUUUGGGGGAAGCGUUCUGGUGACCGAAAGGAUCGAAAGGUCUUAAACCCUAAAUCGCCUAUGGGGCUGGUCUGCCAUCCCAC
rnacentral:ncRNA from 1 species